GGAUAGCUCAAUCGGUAGAGCACGUUACUCUUAAUCUCAAGGUUGUGGGUUUGAGCCCCACGUUGGGCA